rnacentral:rRNA from 1 species
CGGUAGCUAAAUGCGGAAGAGAUAAGUGCUGAAAGCAUCUAAGCACGAAACUUGCCCCGAGAUGAGUUCUCCCUGACUCCUUGAGAGUCCUGAAGGAACGUUGAAGACGACGACGUUGAUAGGUCGGGUGUGUAAGCGCAGCGAUGCGUUGAGCUAACCGAUACUAAUGAACCGUGAGGCUUAACCUUACAACGCCGAAG